GCCUUCUCGUGGUGCCCUUGGUAGCAUCCUCCUGCCUCUUCAGCCCGAGGAACUCAUACAGGUCGGAUGCAUACGUUUGAAGGCUGUCCAAUAUUGCAUUCAAGCGUGUCCUCCAGGGCAAGAGGAAAAAUCAAGAUCAUGGAACAUGAGGUCUGGACAUCCAAGCCAAGUGCCGUAAUGAAUUCUGAGAUGGCCAAAGUGUACAGCAUCGACGGCAGUUCUCCAGUAGCACCUGCUCGUCCCAUUUGCCAAUUCAAGCUUUCCAUUGUUUGUCAGAAAGAGGUGUUUUGAUAGGUUGACAUAAGUUGCCUGAAAUCAUGCUUCUGCUGACAAGAAAUAUCUCAUUAUUGGCUUCGGUGCGGAAUCAGAAUGACACAAGUGUAACAGAAGUCCAGUUUGUCUGCAAUAUUGACACUGAGGAGGUUGUCCCUGUCCACUUGUGCAUUUUGGGGAGAACGUCCAGGCUGGAUGUGGUUGUGGCAAAGGACUGCUUACUGGACUAUUACUGGUGUUGGGGUUUUCCGGUGACACUUGAGAUGAAGAGACCGGUAUAGUGCAGUGCAAGGUGGAGUUGAAUAUUGUCCAAGUGGGUGGACAGGAAGUACUGCUGUAUGAGAAGUAAUGAGCUCAACGCUUCAAUUAAAACGAAUACUAUACAGGUGGAGUGACAGGGUAUUCACUGACACGAAGAUGAAGAGAAGUGCAGUACAUGGAGUUGACUAGUCAGUUCGGUCAUGGAGUGAAAAUCGGGACCACUACGGAGUUGUGUAAGAAUUGGUGGUGGAAUGCUGUACCAGAUGUGUAUCCUGGGUUUCCAAGCUGGACGACUCGCUGGGGUAGCUGAUAAAUGUUUGUUGUAAAAUAAAGUGAAACCAAA